rnacentral:rRNA from 1 species
CGGGGAAUAUUGGACAAUGGGCGCAAGCCUGAUCCAGCCAUACCGCGUGGGUGAAGAAGGCCUUCGGGUUGUAAAGCCCUUUUGUUGGGAAAGAAAUCCAGCUGGCUAAUACCCGGUUGGGAUGACGGUACCCAAAGAAUAAGCACCGGCUAACUUCGUGCCAGCAGCCGCGGUAAUACGAAGGGUGCAAGCGUUACUCGGAAUUACUGGGCGUAAAGCGUGCGUAGGUGGUCGUUUAAGUCCGUUGUGAAAGCCCUGGGCUCAACCUGGGAACUGCAGUGGAUACUGGGCGACUAGAGUGUGGUAGAGGGUAGCGGAAUUCCUGGUGUAGCAGUGAAAUGCGUAGAGAUCAGGAGGAACAUCCAUGGCGAAGGCAGCUACCUGGACCAACACUGACACUGAGGCACGAAAAGCGUGGGGAGCAAACAGGAUUAGAUACCCUGGUAGUCCACGCCCCUAAACGAUGCGAACUGGAUGUUGGGUGCAAUUUGGCACGCAGUAUCGAAGCUAACGCGUUAAGUUCGCCGCCUGGGGAGUACGGUCGCAAGACUGAAACUCAAAUGAGUUGACGGGGUCAUAGC